ACACGUAUGAAAGACAAGCUGAAAGACUUUUCUCAAUGAUGUAAGUGGUGGUGCAUGGUCGUUCUUAGUUCGUGGAGUGGUUUGUCUGGUCUAUUCCGAUAACGAGCGAGACCCCGACGUCCUUAGUAGGGGUGGCAGCCCGGCUCGCCUCACGGCUUGCUAGCAGCCACCCAAGCAUAAGCUUCUUAGGCGAAUCAGAGCCGAUAAGGUUCUUGAAAUGGGUUAAUAACAGGUCAGUCAUGCCCUUAGAUGUUCUGGGCCGCACGCGCGUUACAAUGGUAUACAUUAGAACGUGCUCUCAAGGGCUUUUCCGCGGCCCACAGGUCGCGGUAACCCUUAGUCUCUUCCUUGACUGGGACAGACUAUUGCAAUUAUUGGUCUCAAACGAGGAAUUUUUAGUAGUCGCAAGUCAUUAACUUGCGACGA
rnacentral:rRNA from 2 species